UCAAGGGUUCCCUCACACACAAACCUAUAGGCGGCAGCGACUCGAGAGGGAGAAAGGGGGAGAAGAGAAUGGAAGAGAGGUUCGGCCCCUGUGCAACUCGAUACUGUCGAGCGACGGCGACGGUGUUGGUGAUCCCAGUCUGUAUUCGUUCUCGAAUUCUUUUUAUGAAAACAUAAGAAUGUGGCGGUAAGAAGCGCUAGGCGACGGCGACGGCGAUCGAACCCUAGUCCAUGUUUGAAUUCCUAUAAAUCAUGUUCCUAAUUUCAAUCCAGUUGUGUUGACAGUCCAAUUUCAAUCCAAUUAUCUCGGACUCUCUUCGUCUUUGGCUUGGCCUCGGAAACCCUAUUCCCGAGGGGAAUGGAGGAGGAACUGUUGGUGGGGGCAUGACAAAGGGGGACUUCCUUCCCUCCGCAAAAGUCCCCGGCGAUGGAGUGUACUCGUGUUCUACUGUCAAACAAGGGAACAUUGAAGCAUUUGUCAUUGCAAAGGGUGUUCAUACCUUCAUUGGGAAGUCUGCUCCCUUGGUUGACUCUACUAACCAAGUGAACAGUUUAAAAAGGUCUUGAUUGCGAUUGCGACUUUCUGCAUAGACUCUAUUGCUGUGCGAUUGGUGGUUGAGAUCAUUGUGAUGUACGCUAUUCAGCACCGACAAUUCACUUAUUGUCCAGCAAUGGGGUAGUUUCUUGUGCUUCUCACUUGGAGAAAUUCCUACUGCAAUGUCAACCGUAUUGUCUAUUAAUAUGACAAUUAGUUCUCAUCGUCUGUCUCAAGAGGUAGUGUUCUACCUACUUUUUGGGAUCUACAUUUAUUUAGCUAUAAUUUCAGAAUUUACUUUCUUAAGUUACAAUUUUUGUUAGUUACAGUUUUGUUAUUAAUAUCUCCGGAAGUGAUAGCUAAAAGAAUGACAACAAUUGAAGAAAUGAAUGGUAUGGAUGUGCUCUGCAGUGAUAAAAUUAGAAUUUUGACAUUGAAGAAAACUAGAGUGUUGAGAAAAUCAUUAUUGAAGUCAAACUCUGUUUGCAGUUAAUAUAUCACACUGCAUUCAAUUAUUGAAUCCUGUUUGGAUCUCUGAAAAACAAUUGUAACUCUUUGCAAAAGGAGUUGAUCCAGAUACUGUUGUUUUAAUGAUUGCGGGAAUAUCUCAAUUGGAAAAUCAAGAUGCUAUUGAUGCAGCAGUGGAGGGGAUGCUUGCUUUGAUACGAGUGAUUUAUUUAUGCCCUUCGUAAAAUCUUCUAUAUUUUGUAUCUGAUGUUGGCCAUCUGUAUUUAUAUUACAUGAUGCAUCUCUGAAUUUGAUAUUGUGAACUCCAUAUGGGGUUAUCUUAUUUAUAUAUCAAUUUCCCCUCUGAAAAAAGAUUAAACUAGAACAACUGGAUGAAUGCACCUUUGAAGCUCGAUGCCCUUAUCAUUGGGGGAUCUCUUUUGCUGUCCUUGGUAUCGUAAUUGGCUGUGUUGUUGUAGGUUCUUGAAGCUUGAUGCCCUUGCCAUUGUUGGGGCCAUCCCUUUUGUUGUCCUUGGUAUCAUAAUAGGGUGCAUUGUUAUAGGAUCCAGUUUCCUGGAAUUUUCAUAUGUUGUAUUUGAAUUGUGAGUGGCACCAAAUGCAGAUGCAGAAUGUUGCAGAUGGAAAGUGCCUUGCAAGGUGAUUCAUGCUGAAGAGAUGGCUACAUCCAAGCUUAUGCAAUUUGGCAUUAUGAAAAAUAUGUGAUGCAGUUCAAGCAUGGCCAAACAAGAUAAAGAUCAUGGUGUCAUCCUAUUACCUUGGGCUUGUUGGAAGCAUUCUGAAGUGUACACUUUCGUGAAGAUAAUGAGCUUUAGGUUUAAUUUUAAAACGUUCCACAAAUGGAUAACUGCAUACUCUCAAACCUCCCUCCCCCAAAAUAGAUGAUAUAUAUGGUUUGCUAAGGCUAGGUGUCUAUGCUGACAAUAUUUCUGAUCAUGAUUCUUCCCAUCUGCCUCAGUCCAGGAAGGAAUAAUGCAUUAGGUCCAAGGCCACCAGCACUCUUUUUGUUUCUUAUGAAAUCCCUAGGAGUCAAAAUGGUUUCUUUCUGAUGAAAGCUCUAACAAGAUUUUUCACAAGGGUUAUGUGUAAUGUAUGUAUCUAGCUUGUAUGUUCUCAUUGUGACUUCAGUUUAUUGAUUAGCCCCGAGACUCACAGAAUUUGGAAUUAGCGAAUUGGCAGUUGAAUUGAAUGAAAGCAGCAGAGCAGAGCAGAGCAGAUUGCAUGGCUGUACGGGGCGAUGAAGGGCCGCUCUUUCAGGUGACUUCAUUAUCGGACGAAUUCAUUCAUAUAAUAAAAUCGAUGAGUUUGAUUUUAGUUUCAUUUGUUUCAUAUAGAUAUAGAUAUUCAUCAAUCUUUUUAUAUCAUUAAGCUGUGUUUCUGUAACUACUUUUGCACUUAUCGCUAAUAUUCAUUAUGUAAUUUUUAAUUUAAAACA